rnacentral:tRNA from 2 species
GUGGUCUUAGCUCAAUUGGUUAGAGCGCCAACCUGUGGAGUUGGAGGUUAUGGGUUCAAUUCCCAUAGACCACCCCA